CCCCACACUAUUAAGCCGGCCAUUUCUGCAUCUUAGAGUAGAAAACGGUGUGCUCGUUGUGGGAACAGCAACGUCUUUUCUGUGUAUGGUGGCUUGGUUUCUAUCCAUGCCAACCAAAGGAAGAUUAGAGACAUUU